CGGCCGCUAAUACCCCAUAUGCCGAGAGGUGAAACGAAUUUCGCCUGAGGAUGAGCUCGCGUCUGAUUAGCUAGUUGGUGGGGUAAGAGCCUACCAAGGCUUCGAUCAGUAGCUGGUCUGAGAGGAUGAUCAGCCACACUGGGACUGAGACACGGCCCAGGCUCCUACGGGAGGCAGCAGUGGGGAAUUUUCCGCAAUGGGCGAAAGCCUGACGGAGCAACGCCGCGUGAGGGAUGAAGGCCUCUGGGCUGUAAACCUCUUUUCUCAAGGAAGAAGAUCUGACGGUACUUGAGGAAUAAGCCACGGCUAAUUCCGUGCCAGCAGCCGCGGUAAUACGGGAGUGGCAAGCGUUAUCCGGAAUUAUUGGGCGUAAAGCGUCCGCAGGCGGCCUUUUAAGUCUGUCGUUAAAGCGUGGAGCUUAACUCCAUUUAAGCGAUGGAAACUGGAAGGCUAGAGUGUGGUAGGGGCAGAGGGAAUUCCCGGUGUAGCGGUGAAAUGCGUAGAUAUCGGGAAGAACACCAGUGGCGAAGGCGCUCUGCUGGGCCAUAACUGACGCUCAUGGACGAAAGCCAUGGGAGCGAAAGGGAUUAGAUACCCCUGUAGUC
rnacentral:rRNA from 1 species